AGCGUAGGCGGACUUUUAAGUGAGAUGUGAAAUACCCGGGCUCAACUUGGGUGCUGCAUUUCAAACUGGAAGUCUAGAGUGCAGGAGAGGAGAAUGGAAUUCCUAGUGUAGCGGUGAAAUGCGUAGAGAUUAGGAAGAACACCAGUGGCGAAGGCGAUCUCUGGACUGUAACUGACGCUGAGGCUGAAAGCGUGGGGAGCAAACA
rnacentral:rRNA from 1 species